rnacentral:rRNA from 1 species
GAUGAACGCUGGCGGCGUGCUUAACACAUGCAAGUCGAGCGAAGCAAUUUAAGUGAAGUUUUCGGAUGGAUCUUAGAUUGACUGAGCGGCGGACGGGUGAGUAACGCGUGGAUAACCUGCCUCACACAGGGGGAUAACAGUUAGAAAUGACUGCUAAUACCGCAUAAGCGCACAGUACCGCAUGGUAUAGUGUGAAAAACUCCGGUGGUGUGAGAUGGAUCCGUGUCUGAUUAGGUAGUUGGUGGGGUAACGGCCCACCAAGCCGACGAUCAGUAGCCGACCUGAGAGGGUGACCGGCCACAUUGGGACUGAGACACGGCCCAAACUCCUACGGGAGGCAGCAGUGGGGAAUAUUGCACAAUGGGCGAAAGCCUGAUGCAGCAACGCCGCGUGAGUGAAGAAGUAUCUCGGUAUGUAAAGCUCUAUCAGCAGGGAAGAAAAUGACGGUACCUGACUAAGAAGCCCCGGCUAACUACGUGCCAGCAGCCGCGGUAAUACGUAGGGGGCAAGCGUUAUCCGGAUUUACUGGGUGUAAAGGGAGCGCAGACGGCACUGCAAGUCUGAAGUGAAAGCCCGGGGCUCAACCCUGGGACUGCUUUGGAAACUGUAGAGCUAGAGUGCUGGAGAGGCAAGCGGAAUUCCUAGUGUAGCGGUGAAAUGCGUAGAUAUUAGGAAGAACACCAGUGGCGAAGGCGGCUUGCUGGACAGUAACUGACGUUCAGGCUCGAAAGCGUGGGGAGCAAACAGGAUUAGAUACCCUGGUAGUCCACGCUGUAAACG